rnacentral:rRNA from 1 species
AGUGAACGCUGGCGGUAGGCCUAACACAUGCAAGUCGAACGGCAGCACAGUAAGAGCUUGCUCUUACGGGUGGCGAGUGGCGGACGGGUGAGGAAUACAUCGGAAUCUACUUUUUCGUGGGGGAUAACGUAGGGAAACUUACGCUAAUACCGCAUACGACCUACGGGUGAAAGCAGGGGAUCUUCGGACCUUGCGCGAUUGGAUGAGCCGAUGUGGGAUUAGCUAGUUGGCGGGGUAAAGGCCCACCAAGGCGACGAUCCGUAGCUGGUCUGAGAGGAUGAUCAGCGACACGGGAGCGGAGACACGGUCCAGACUCCUACGGGAGGCAGCAGUGGGGAAUAGUAGACAAUGGGCGCAAGCAUGAUCCAGCCAUACCGCGUGGGUGAAGAAGGCCUUCGGGUUGUAAAGCCCUUUUGUUGGGAAAGAAAAGCAGCAGGUUAAUACCCCGCUGUUCUGACGGUACCCAAAGAAUAAGCACCGGCUAACUUCGUG